CCUACGGGAGGCAGCAGUGGGGAAUAUUGCACAAUGGGCGCAAGCCUGAUGCAGCCAUGCCGCGUGUAUGAAGAAGGCCUUCGGGUUGUAAAGUACUUUCAGCGGGGAGGAAGGCGACAGGGUUAAUAGCCCUGUCGAUUGACGUUACCCGCAGAAGAAGCACCGGCUAACUCCGUGCCAGCAGCCGCGGUAAU
rnacentral:rRNA from 1 species